GCGCCUGUAGCUCAGUAGGACAGAGCAGCGGCCUUCUAAGCCGCGGGUCAGAGGUUCGAAUCCUCUCAGGCGCGCCA
rnacentral:tRNA from 1 species